rnacentral:snRNA from 1 species
AGUAUCAGAGCUUAAAUGUU